rnacentral:rRNA from 1 species
GAUGAACGCUGGCGGCGUGCCUAAUACAUGCAAGUCGAGCGAACGGACGAGAAGCUUGCUUUUCUGAUGUUAGCGGCGGACGGGUGAGUAACACGUGGAUAACCUACCUAUAAGACUGGGAUAACUUCGGGAAACCGGAGCUAAUACCGGAUAAUAUUUUGAACCGCAUGGUUCAAAAGUGAAAGACGGUCUUGCUGUCACUUAUAGAUGGAUCCGCGCUGCAUUAGCUAGUUGUUAAGGUAACGGCUUACCAAGGCAACGAUGCAUAGCCGACGGGAGAGGGUGGUCGGCCACACUGGAAGUGAGACACGGACCAGGCUACUACGGGAGGCAGCAGUAGGGAACCUUCCGCAACGGGGGAAAGCAUGACGGAGCAGCGCCGCGUGAGUGAUGAAGGUCUUCGGAGCGUAAUACUCUGUUAUUAGGGAAGAACAUAUGUGUAAGUAACUGUGCACAUCUUGACGGUACCUAAUCAGAAAGCCCCGGCUAACUACGUG